rnacentral:rRNA from 1 species
GACGAACGCUGGCGGCGUGCUUAACACAUGCAAGUCGAGCGGAGCGGCGAACGGGUGAGUAACGCGUGAGUAACUGCCCCCCUCUCUGGGAUAACAGUUGGAAACGGCUGCUAAUACCGGAUAGUGGGGGAUGACUCGCGUCCUAUCAGCUUGUUGGUGGGGUAGUGGCCUACCAAGGCGACGACGGGUAGCCGGCCUGAGAGGGCGACCAGCCGCAUUGGGCGGCGAUACGGGCCGAACGACUACGGGUGGCAGCAGUGGGGAAUAUUGCACAAUGGGGGAGAGCCUGGAGAAGCAACGCGCGAGCGGGAUGACGUGAUUCGGGUAAGAAACCGAUUUCAGACAUGAAGCGGUAGUGGCAGAGAAAGCACCGGCUAACUACGUUCCAGCAGCCGCGGUAAUAC